rnacentral:sRNA from 1 species
GGAUGUGAGGCCAUCUGACUGUGACAUCUCUCUCCCCGUUGGCUGCCAGGUUGAUUGGGCUGAUCUGGCUGGCCAGGUGGGUGUCCUCUUUCUUCCUCCUGCUCCAGGUAUGUCCCUCCCAAAGCUGUGUGCUCGGUGUCAAAGGACAGUCUUCCCAGAAUAGAGGCAGAUCAUUUCUAUUUAAACAUUUAUAUCAGAGACCUCUGAGGCUGAAGCGAUAGCACAGUGGGGAGGGCAUUUGCCUUGCAUG